GCAGUGAAGGAUAAAGUUUCUAGGAAAAAUUAUGCUGGGUAGAACUCUGUUAACCACUUGCAUCUCAAGCACUUCACUGUUUUCUCAUUAUCUUUCUCUUGCUUCUUCCAAUUUUGUUAAUAAUCUUAAAAUUCUCCAUCUCUAUGUGUUGCCUGCUGAACUGCAAAAGCUCCACUUCCUUUAUGUUCAACCUUUUUGCUUUUAACAUAUGUUGGGAGGGAGGAGUUGAACAG
rnacentral:misc_RNA from 1 species